AGGGUUCGAUUCUGGCUCAGGAUGAACGCUGGCGGCGUGCUUAACACAUGCAAGUCGAACGGGAUCCCUGGCGCUUGCGCCGGGGUGAGAGUGGCGAACGGGUGAGUAAUGCGUGACCAACCUGCCCCAUGCACCGGAAUAGCUCCUGGAAACGGGUGGUAAUGCCGGAUGCUCCAGAUGACCGCAUGGGAUUCUGGGAAAGCUUUUGCGGCAUGGGAUGGGGUCGCGUCCUAUCAGCUUGUUGGUGGGGUGAUGGCCCACCAAGGCUUCGACGGGUAGCCGGCCUGAGAGGGCGACCGGCCACAUUGGGACUGAGAUACGGCCCAGACUCCUACGGGAGGCAGCAGUGGGGAAUAUUGCGCAAUGGGCGAAAGCCUGACGCAGCGACGCCGCGUGCGGGAUGGAGGCCUUCGGGUUGUAAACCGCUUUUAUCGGGGAGCAAGCGAGAGUGAGUGUACCCGUUGAAUAAGCACCGGCUAACUACGUGCCAGCAGCCGCGGUAAUACGUAGGGUGCAAGCGUUAUCCGGAUUUAUUGGGCGUAAAGGGCUCGUAGGCGGUUCGUCGCGUCUGGUGUGAAAGUCCAUCGCUUAACGGUGGAUCUGCGCCGGGUACGGGCGGGCUGGAGUGCGGCAUGGGAGACUGGAAUUCCCGGUGUAACGGUGGAAUGUGUAGAUAUCGGGAAGAACACCAAUGGCGAAGGCAGGUCUCUGGGCCGUUACUGACGCUGAGGAGCGAAAGCGUGGGGAGCGAACAGGAUUAGAUACCCUGGUAGUCCACGCCGUAAACGGUGGAUGCUGGAUGUGGGGCCCUUUCCACGGGUUCCGUGUCGGAGCUAACGCGUUAAGCAUCCCGCCUGGGGAGUACGGCCGCAAGGCUAAAACUCAAAGAAAUUGACGGGGGCCCGCACAAGCGGCGGAGCAUGCGGAUUAAUUCGAUGCAACGCGAAGAACCUUACCUGGGCUUGACAUGUUCCCGACGA
rnacentral:rRNA from 1 species